rnacentral:rRNA from 1 species
UUGAAGAGUUUGAUCAUGGCUCAGAUUGAACGCUGGCGGCAGGCCUAACACAUGCAAGUCGAGCGGAAACGAGUUAUCAGAACCUUCGGGGGACGAUAACGGCGUCGAGCGGCGGACGGGUGAGUAAUGCCUAGGAAAUUGCCCUGAUGUGGGGGAUAACCAUUGGAAACGAUGGCUAAUACCGCAUGAUGCCUACGGGCCAAAGAGGGGGACCUUCGGGCCUCUCGCGUCAGGAUAUGCCUAGGUGGGAUUAGCUAGUUGGUGAGGUAAGGGCUCACCAAGGCGACGAUCCCUAGCUGGUCUGAGAGGAUGAUCAGCCACACUGGAACUGAGACACGGUCCAGACUCCUACGGGAGGCAGCAGUGGGGAAUAUUGCACAAUGGGCGCAAGCCUGAUGCAGCCAUGCCGCGUGUGUGAAGAAGGCCUUCGGGUUGUAAAGCACUUUCAGUCGUGAGGAAGGUAGUGUAGUUAAUAGCUGCAUUAUUUGACGUUAGCGACAGAAGAAGCACCGGCUAACUCCGUGCCAGCAGCCGCGGUAAUACGGAGGGUGCGAGCGUUAAUCGGAAUUACUGGGCGUAAAGCGCAUGCAGGUGGUUUGUUAAGUCAGAUGUGAAAGCCCGGGGCUCAACCUCGGAAUAGCAUUUGAAACUGGCAGACUAGAGUACUGUAGAGGGGGGUAGAAUUUCAGGUGUAGCGGUGAAAUGCGUAGAGAUCUGAAGGAAUACCGGUGGCGAAGGCGGCCCCCUGGACAGAUACUGACACUCAGAUGCGAAAGCGUGGGGAGCAAACAGGAUUAGAUACCCUGGUAGUCCACGCCGUAAACGAUGUCUACUUGGAGGUUGUGGCCUUGAGCCGUGGCUUUCGGAGCUAACGCGUUAAGUAGACCGCCUGGGGAGUACGGUCGCAAGAUUAAAACUCAAAUGAAUUGACGGGGGCCCGCACAAGCGGUGGAGCAUGUGGUUUAAUUCGAUGCAACGCGAAGAACCUUACCUACUCUUGACAUCCAGAGAACUUUCCAGAGAUGGAUUGGUGCCUUCGGGAACUCUGAGACAGGUGCUGCAUGGCUGUCGUCAGCUCGUGUUGUGAAAUGUUGGGUUAAGUCCCGCAACGAGCGCAACCCUUAUCCUUGUUUGCCAGCGAGUAAUGUCGGGAACUCCAGGGAGACUGCCGGUGAUAAACCGGAGGAAGGUGGGGACGACGUCAAGUCAUCAUGGCCCUUACGAGUAGGGCUACACACGUGCUACAAUGGCGCAUACAGAGGGCGGCCAACUUGCGAAAGUGAGCGAAUCCCAAAAAGUGCGUCGUAGUCCGGAUUGGAGUCUGCAACUCGACUCCAUGAAGUCGGAAUCGCUAGUAAUCGUGGAUCAGAAUGCCACGGUGAAUACGUUCCCGGGCCUUGUACACACCGCCCGUCACACCAUGGGAGUGGGCUGCAAAAGAAGUAGGUAGUUUAACCUUCGGGGGGACGCUUACCACUUUGUGGUUCAUGACUGGGGUGAAGUCGUAACAAGGUAGCGCUAGGGGAACCUGGCGCUGGAUCACCUCCUU